rnacentral:rRNA from 1 species
GGGCGUUAAGUUGCAGGGUAUAGACCCGAAACCCGGUGAUCUAGCCAUGGGCAGGUUGAAGGUUGGGUAACACUAACUGGAGGACCGAACCGACUAAUGUUGAAAAAUUAGCGGAUGACCUGUGGCUGGGGGUGAAAGGCCAAUCAAACCGGGAGAUAGCUGGUUCUCCCCGAAAGCUAUUUAGGUAGCGCCUCGUGAAUUCAUCUCCGGGGGUAGAGCACUGUUUCGGCUAGGGGGCCAUCCCGGCUUACCAACCCGAUGCAAACUGCGAAUACCGGAGAAUGUUAUCACGGGAGACACACGGCGGGUGCUAACGUCCGUCGUGAAGAGGGAAACAACCCAGACCGCCAGCUAAGGUCCCAAAGUCAUGGUUAAGUGGGAAACGAUGUGGGAAGGCCCAGACAGCCAGGAUGUUGGCUUAGAAGCAGCCAUCAUUUAAAGAAAGCGUAAUAGCUCACUGGUCGAGUCGGCCUGCGCGGAAGAUGUAACGGGGCUAAACCAUGCACCGAAGCUGCGGCAGCGACGCUAUGUGUUGUUGGGUAGGGGAGCGUUCUGUAAGCCUGUGAAGGUGGCCUGUGAGGGUUGCUGGAGGUAUCAGAAGUGCGAAUGCUGACAUAAGUAACGAUAAAGCGGGUGAAAAGCCCGCUCGCCGGAAGACCAAGGGUUCCUGUCCAACGUUAAUCGGGGCAGGGUGAGUCGACCCCUAAGGCGAGGCCGAAAGGCGUAGUCGAUGGGAAACGGGUUAAUAUUCCCGUACUUGGUGUUACUGCGAAGGGGGGACGGAGAAGGCUAUGUUGGCCGGGCGACGGUUGUCCCGGUUUAAGCGUGUAGGUGUGUGUUCCAGGUAAAUCCGGUUCACUUUAACACUGAGGCGUGAUGACGAGGCACUACGGUGCUGAAGCAACAAAUGCCCUGCUUCCAGGAAAAGCCUCUAAGCAUCAGGUAACAUCAAAUCGUACCCCAAACCGACACAGGUGGUCAGGUAGAGAAUACCAAGGCGCUUGAGAGAACUCGGGUGAAGGAACUAGGCAAAAUGGUGCCGUAACUUCGGGAGAAGGCACGCUGACACGUAGGUGAAGUGAUUUACUCAUGGAGCUGAAGUCAGUCGAAGAUACCAGCUGGCUGCAACUGUUUAUUAAAAACACAGCACUGUGCAAACACGAAAGUGGACGUAUACGGUGUGACGCCUGCCCGGUGCCGGAAGGUUAAUUGAUGGGGUCAGCGCAAGCGAAGCUCCUGAUCGAAGCCCCGGUAAACGGCGGCCGUAACUAUAACGGUCCUAAGGUAGCGAAAUUCCUUGUCGGGUAAGUUCCGACCUGCACGAAUGGCGUAAUGAUGGCCAGGCUGUCUCCACCCGAGACUCAGUGAAAUUGAACUCGCUGUGAAGAUGCAGUGUACCCGCGGCAAGACGGAAAGACCCCGUGAACCUUUACUAUAGCUUGACACUGAACAUUGAGCCUUGAUGUGUAGGAUAGGUGGGAGGCUUUGAAGUGUGGACGCCAGUCUGCAUGGAGCCGGCCUUGAAAUACCACCCUUUAAUGUUUGAUGUUCUAACGUGGACCCGUGAUCCGGGUUGCGGACAGUGUCUGGUGGGUAGUUUGACUGGGGCGGUCUCCUCCUAAAGAGUAACGGAGGAGCACGAAGGUUGGCUAAUCCUGGUCGGACAUCAGGAGGUUAGUGCAAUGGCAUAAGCCAGCUUGACUGCGAGCGUGACGGCGCGAGCAGGUGCGAAAGCAGGUCAUAGUGAUCCGGUGGUUCUGAAUGGAAGGGCCAUCGCUCAACGGAUAAAAGGUACUCCGGGGAUAACAGGCUGAUACCGCCCAAGAGUUCAUAUCGACGGCGGUGUUUGGCACCUCGAUGUCGGCUCAUCACAUCCUGGGGCUGAAGUAGGUCCCAAGGGUAUGGCUGUUCGCCAUUUAAAGUGGUACGCGAGCUGGGUUUAGAACGUCGUGAGACAGUUCGGUCCCUAUCUGCCGUGGGCGCUGGAGAACUGAGGGGGGCUGCUCCUAGUACGAGAGGACCGGAGUGGACGCAUCACUGGUGUUCGGGUUGUCAUGCCAAUGGCACUGCCCGGUAGCUAAAUGCGGAAGAGAUAAGUGCUGAAAGCAUCUAAGCACGAAACUUGCCCCGAGAUGAGUUCUCCCUGAGACUU